rnacentral:rRNA from 1 species
AACGAACGCUGGCGGCAGGCCUAACACAUGCAAGUCGAACGGAUCCUUCGGGAUUAGUGGCGGACGGGUGAGUAACACGUGGGAACGUGCCCUUUGGUUCGGAACAACUCAGGGAAACUUGAGCUAAUACCGGAUGUGCCCUUCGGGGGAAAGAUUUAUCGCCAUUGGAGCGGCCCGCGUCUGAUUAGCUAGUUGGUGAGGUAAAGGCUCACCAAGGCGACGAUCAGUAGCUGGUCUGAGAGGAUGAUCAGCCACAUUGGGACUGAGACACGGCCCAAACUCCUACGGGAGGCAGCAGUGGGGAAUCUAGCGCAAUGGGCGAAAGCUUGACGCAGCCAUGCCGCGUGAAUGAUGAAGGUCUUAGGAUUGUAAAAUUCUUUCACCGGGGACGAUAAUGACGGUACCCGGAGAAGAAGCCCCGGCUAACUUCGUGCCAGCCGCCGCCGUAAAAC